UAACUCAGGCUCAAAUGAUGUUCAAAAAAUUCUUAUAUGAGAAACCGUUUUUGAUAUGCGACUGACCAAACCAAAAUUGAAGUCGAUUCGCGACAUCGUUUGAUCAGCGCACAAAAUAAAUGUCCAAGUUGGGUUCUAUUUAAAGAGUGCACCCUAAACAGUGCUAAAUUAUUAUAAACUUAUGAAAUAAUAAAAAUUUAAAAGAUACUUAAGUACUAUAAAACUCCGAUAUCCGACACCAUGCGAUUAAUCCACAACAUUGAUAGCCAUUCCAAAGUAUAUAUCCCAAAACCUUUAGCAUGUGUUGUAUUAAUGAUGGUUUGUUAAAAAUCCAUGUUGGGGAAAGUAUCCGUGUAGACACUCCAAGAUCGCCAGUAAAAGAGAGCGAUUUGAAUUGGUUUUAUUUUGAAGAAAACUUUUGAACAGGCCUGGCGGGAAUACAAAAUAAUAAAAAAAAAACAUAUAUACAUUCCCCCGGACUAAAGAAAAGCGAAUGCGGAUAUAGAAGUUUACAUAGAUUCUUAAUUUUGGAGUCACACAUUAUAAAAAAUAAAUUUUACAAUAGAGCUUAAGUUCUAGAAAAAAAUGGACGUAUAUUGUAAAUACUAGCCGACGUUAUGGUUUUGUUGCCUUUUGCCCGUAGUCUUACAAAUGUUGGGCUUGAAAAUUUGACGAUUUUGUAUGGACCAUUGAACUUUUGACGAAAUUUGGAUGAUUGAUCGAAUUUCGUAUUUGGUGCCAAGUUUUUUACCAUUACAUAUUGACCAACUCUGUAUUUUGAUGCUGCUGGCCUAUUAAGUGUUUUAUUAACUUGGUUUUGAUGAGCCAAUUUAAUUGCGUUUUCAAUUUGUUGCUUUGACGGGAUUUCAUUGCUUGUCAGUAAAUCCGUUAGUUCGUUUAUAAUGACCAAUGGCGUUAACAAUUCACGACCAAAAAAUGCCUGCGCUGGGGUGGCUUGUAAUACAUUUUUCCUUGUUGGAAGAUGGCGUAUAUGGGCUUGUGAAACAAAGUUUUAUCCCAUUGUUGAACAAAAACAUCUUAAAUUUGUGUGAAGUAAAUGCAGGUCCAUUGUCAGUUACUAUACAUCGUGGGUAUCCAUUGCGGAGAAAUAUGUCUUGUAAAAUUGAAAUUGCGGUAUCUGUUGUCUGAUUACGGCAUGAUUGUGCGAAGGGAAAUUUGGAAAACCCAUCUACGGCAGAAAAUAUAAAACGAUGGUUUUCUGGAGAUUUUACAAUUGGUCCUACAAAAUCGCAAAAGAUUGUGUCGAAGAUUGCAAGUGGAAUAUUUGAACUGAGCUUAAUUUUGUCGACCCGUGUAUAUGGCCGUGAUUCUUGACAAAUUUUGCAACUUGUGACAUAAUCUUUAACAAUGUUGUAUAAAUUUUUAAUAUAAAAUAUUUUUGAUAUUGUCC